GUCCCUCACUCGUCCGUGCCUUCGGGCCUUCGAGCUGUUUUCGAUGCCUGUGCCAUCUACCCGGUCCCUUGGGAAGCCGAUGCGCCCCACACGCUAGUCUGCCCCCCCCCCCGCCUCGUCGGGCGAGGGACGGCCACGGCGCGGGCGUCGUGCGCCCCCGGACAAAGCGGCCGUCAGGCCCCUGUCCCGGACGGGCUCCCGACGUCCCGUGAGCGCUCUCGGAUGCGGCAGAAGUCGUGGGCUUUGGGGACUUUGUUUCCCCGACCCGUACCUCGGUYGGUCGUCGAGCCGCCCUUGUCGAGACGACGGUCGGCCCGCUGUCGGGCCCCUUUCGCCCCCCGCGGGCGGGCGGGUGCCCCGUCGACGGUGCCGGC
rnacentral:misc_RNA from 1 species